rnacentral:rRNA from 1 species
UACGUAGGGUGCAAGCGUUGUCCGGAAUUAUUGGGCGUAAAGAGCUCGUAGGCGGUCCGUCACGUCGGGAGUGAAAACUCGGAGCUCAACUCCGAGCCUGCUUCCGAUACGGGCAGACUAGAGGUAGGCAGGGGAGAGCGGAACUCCUGGUGUAGCGGUGGAAUGCGCAGAUAUCAGGAAGAACACCGGUGGCGAAGGCGGCUCUCUGGGCCUUACCUGACGCUGAGGAGCGAAAGCGUGGGUAGCGAACAGG